AAAUUGAGGUGCUGGAGCAUGUCCAGAGCAGGGCAACAGAGGUGGUAAAGUAUGUGGAGCACACAUGAGGAGUAGCUGAGGCACCUGGGAUUGUUUAGCCUGAAGAACAGGAGGAUUAGGAGGACCUUAUUGCUCUCUACAAUUACUUGAAAGGAGGAUGUAGAGAAGUAGAUGUCAGUCUCUUCUCACAGACCUAAACUGGUUUCCUGAAGGGCACCACCUCAUUCAGACAAUCUGAAAUCCAACUCAAGAGCACAAAAACUUUCUUCCAGAGUGGUAUUUUGCCACUAGACCACCAGAGGCUCACCGCUGCGACCCGGGUUC